rnacentral:rRNA from 1 species
AUUGAACGCUGGCGGGAGGCUUAACACAUGCAAGUCGAACGAGUGGCGGACGGGUUAGUAAUGUCUGGGAAACUGCCUGAUAGAGGGGGAUAACUACUGGAAACGGUAGCUAAUACCGCAUACCAUCCGAGCUGCCCAAAUGGGAUUAGAUUGUUGGUGGGGUAACGGCGCACCAAGGCGACGAUCCCUAGCUGGUCUGAGAGGAUGACCAGCCACACUGGAACUGAGACACGGCCCAGACUCCUACGGGAGGCAGCAGUGGGGAAUUUUGCACAAUGGGCGCAACCCUGAUGCAGCCAUCCCGCGUGUAUGAUGAAGGCCUUCGGGUUGUAAAGUACUUUCGGCGGGGAAGCGGUACCCGCAGAAGAAGCACCGGCUAACUCCGUGCCAGCAGCCGCGGUAAUAC